GACACGUUUGAGUAUGGUACUUUGUUUAAUUGAAGGUAUUUGUAUUGGUCUUGACCCAUCUGCAUCAAGCCUUCCUUGCAUGUUCAUGGUCUUUUUGUUAGUGCCAACUCUAACUGUGCUGACUUUAAAUGGCAUGUAUGUGCGCUGCAAGACAGGAAAAUGAUAAAUUAUUAAUACUACAGUAUGUGCAAACAAAGGUUAUUUUCUCAUAUGUAUGACUUCUUGCUCCUGUUUACAUUUCUGCAUUUUACAAAUCAUUAACCUCACAUUGUAAUUUUUGUGCUUUACUUGUCACUACUUCCAGACGCCAAGGACUUAUUGUUGUGCUAACACUGAAGACUUGGAGACAGUUAUUCACCAUGUACACAGCCUGUACCCUUCUGCUCCUUUCCUGGCAGCAGGGGUUUCAAUGGGAGGAAUGCUGCUUCUAAAUUACUUGGGCAAAAUUGGGUCCAAAACGCCUUUGAUGGCAGCUGCAACUUUUUCCGUUGGUUGGAACACCUUCGCUUGCUCAGAGUCAUUGGAAAAACCACUGAACUGGCUACUUUUUAAUUACUAUUUGACAACCUGCCUUCAGUCUUCAGUUAAUAAGCACCGACAUAUGUUUGUAAAACAAGUUGAUAUGGAUCAUGUCAUGAAGGUAGGAGAGAAACUUUAUGUAAUACUUUUAUUUCUUCUUUUGGGCAAGACUAGAUAUAAUUUGUUUUUGUGUUUCAGGCUAAAUCCAUCAGAGAGUUUGAUAAGCGAUUCACUUCAGUCAUGUUUGGAUACCAAACAAUUGAUGAUUAUUAUACUGAUGCCAGUCCGAGUCCUAGACUGAAGUCAGUAGGAAUUCCAGUAUUGUGUCUAAAUUCUGUGGAUGAUGUUUUCUCACCCAGUCAUGCUAUUCCAGUAGAAACUGCUAAGCAAAAUCCUAAUGUUGCUUUGGUCCUUACUUCUUAUGGAGGCCAUAUU
rnacentral:sRNA from 1 species